UCCAGCAAUAUCACGGCAGGGGACACCAAAAAUGGGCUUCACACAUUGUGCCCAUGUGGGGAAUCGAACCCAAGUCUUCGGCGUGACGAGCGGGCGAUUAACUACUAGGCUAAACCACCGCCCCGACAGUAGAAGUGGU